UACGAAGGGUGCAAGCGUUACUCGGAAUUACUGGGCGUAAAGCGUGCGUAGGUGGUGCGUUAAGUCUGUCGUGAAAGCCCCGGGCUCAACCUGGGAAUGGCGAUGGAUACUGGCGCGCUAGAGUGCGGUAGAGGAGAGUGGAAUUCCCGGUGUAGCAGUGAAAUGCGUAGAGAUCGGGAGGAAAACCAGUUGCGAAGGCGGCUCUCUGGACCAGCACUGACACUGAGGCACGAAAGCGUGGGGAGCAAACAGG
rnacentral:rRNA from 1 species